rnacentral:tRNA from 1 species
GCGGGGAUAGCUCAGUUGGGAGAGCGUCAGACUGAAGUGACACUUCAUUCGUUUAUCUGAAGGUCGUGUGUUCGAUCCACACUCACCGCA